rnacentral:rRNA from 1 species
GAUGAACGCUGGCGGCGUGCCUAAUACAUGCAAGUCGAGCGAACAGACGAGGAUCUUGCUCUUCUGACGUUAGCGGCGGACGGGUGAGUAACACGUGGAUAACCUACCUCUAAGACUUGGAUAACUUCGGGAAACCGUAGCUAAUACCGGAUAAUAUCUUUAACCGCAUGGUUCAAUAGUUAAAUACGGUUUUGCUGUCAUUUCUAGCUGUAUCCGCGCUGCAUUAGUGAGUUGGUAAGGUAACGGCUUACCAAGGCAACGAUGCGUAGCCGACCUGCGAGGGUGAUCGGCCACACUGGGACUGAAACGCGGUCCAGGCUCCUACGGGAGGCAGAAGUAGGGAAGCGUCCGCAAUGGGCGAAAGCCUGACGGAGCAACGCAGCGUGAGUGAUGAAGGUCUUCGGAUCGUAAAAAUCUGUUAUUAGGGAAGAACAAAUGUGUAAGUAACUAUGCACGUCUUGACGGUACCUAAUCAGAAAGCCACGGCUAACUACGUG